rnacentral:rRNA from 1 species
AACGUAGGAGACAAACGUUAUCCGGAGUUACUGGGCGUAAAGGGCGUGUAGGUGGUUCUGUAAGUCUGGCGUGAAAUUUCUCGGCUUAACCGAGGCAGGUCGUCGGAUACUGCAGGGCUAGAGGACGGUAGAGGCGUGUGGAAUUCCGGGUGUAGUGGUGAAAUGCGUAGAGAUCGGGAGGAACACCUGUGGCGAAGGCGGCCGACUGGGCCGACCCUGACGCUGAGGCGCGAAAGCGUGGGGAGCAAACAGG